rnacentral:tmRNA from 1 species
GCCACUAACCUCAUAAAACAAGUGGCAAAAAAUAACUGGCGAAGAACCAGUAUUAGUUGCUGCCUAAUUAAAUAGGUAGCACAUCCAGCCUGACCUCUCCUCAACGGGUUGGGAUUGGGUGCCGAAAAGUUGAGGUGCCAUCGCCCGGACGUCGAUAAGGGUGGUGAAAGAAACUAUCGACUGGCCUGGCUAAACUCGGUCAGCAGAGGUUAGCCAGGUAAGAUUAAAGAGCUGACUAA